rnacentral:rRNA from 1 species
UACGUAGGGGGCAAGCGUUGUCCGGAAUCAUUGGGCGUAAAGCGCGCGUAGGUGGCUUCGUAAGUCCGUUGUGAAAGUCAAAGGCUCAACCUUUGAAAGCCGAUGGAUACUGUGAAGCUAGAGUACGGAAGAGGCGAGUGGAAUCCCUGGUGUAGCGGUGGAAUGCGCAGAUAUCAGGAGGAACACCAAUAGCGAAGGCAGCUCGCUGGGACGUUACUGACACUGAGGCGCGAAAGCGUGGGGAGCGAACAGG